UACGUAGGGGGCAAGCGUUGUCCGGAUUUAUUGGGCGUAAAGAGCGUGUAGGCGGUCAGGUAGGUCCGUUGUGAAAACUCGAGGCUCAACCUCGAGACGCCGAUGGAAACCAUCUGACUAGAGUCCGGAAGAGGAGAGUGGAACUCCGAGUGUAGAGGUGAAAUUCGUAGAUAUUCGGAAGAACACCAGUGGCGAAGGCGGCUCACUGGUCCGGUACUGACGCUGAGGUGCGAAAGCGUGGGGAGCAAACAGG
rnacentral:rRNA from 1 species